rnacentral:rRNA from 1 species
CUACGGGCCGCUGCAGUGGGGAAUAUUGCACAAUGGAGGAAACUCUGAUGCAGCAACGCCGCGUGGAGGAUGACACUUUUCGGAGCGUAAACUCCUUUUAUAUAGGAAGAAGAUGACGGUACUAUAUGAAUAAGCGCCGGCUAACUCCGUGCCAGCAGCCGCGGUAAUACGGAGGGCGCAAGCGUUACUCGGAAUCACUGGGCGUAAAGAGCGUGUAGGCGGAUUAAAAAGUCAGAAGUGAAAUCCUAUAGCUUAACUAUAGAACUGCUUCUGAAACUCUUAAUCUAGAAUAUGGGAGAGGUAGAUGGAAUUUCUGGUGUAGGGGUAAAACCCGUAGAGAUCAGAAGGAAUACCGAUUGCGAAGGCGAUCUACUAGGACAUUAUUGACGCUGAGACGCGAAAGCGUGGGGAGCAAACAGGAUUAGAUACCCGAGUAGUC